rnacentral:rRNA from 1 species
CCUACGGGCGGCUGCAGUGGGGAAUAUUGGACAAUGGGGGCAACCCUGAUCCAGCCAUGCCGCGUGUGUGAAGAAGGCCCUCGGGUUGUAAAGCACUUUCAGUGAGGAAGAACGCCUGGUGGUUAAUACCCAUCAGGAAAGACAUCACUCACAGAAGAAGCACCGGCUAACUCCGUGCCAGCAGCCGCGGUAAUACGUAGGGUGCGAGCGUUAAUCGGAAUUACUGGGCGUAAAGCGCGCGUAGGUGGCUUGAUAAGCCGGUUGUGAAAGCCCCGGGCUCAACCUGGGAACGGCAUCCGGAACUGUCAAGCUAGAGUGCAGGAGAGGAAGGUAGAAUUCCCGGUGUAGCGGUGAAAUGCGUAGAGAUCGGGAGGAAUACCAGUGGCGAAGGCGGCCUUCUGGACUGACACUGACACUGAGGUGCGAAAGCGUGGGUAGCAAACAGGAUUAGAUACCCUGGUAGUC